UGGGGAAUAUUGCACAAUGGACGGAAGUCUGCUGCAGCAACGCCGCGUGCGGGAUGACGGCCUUCGGGUUGUAAACCGCUUUUUCUCAUGACGAAGUUUUUUGACGGUAGUGGGGGAAGAAGCACCGGCUAACUACGUGCCAGCAGCCGCGGUGAUACGUAGGGUGCGAGCGUUGUCCGGAAUUAUUGGGCGUAAAGAGCUUGUAGGCGGUUUGUCGCGUCGAUAGUGCAAACUCAGUGCUUAACGCUGAGCCUGCUGUUGAUACGGGCAGACUAGAGGAAGGUAGGGGAGAAUGGAAUUCCCGGUGGAGCGGUGGAAUGCGCAGAUAUCGGGAGGAACACCGGUGGCGAAGGCGGUUCUCUGGGCCUUUCCUGACGCUGAGAAGCGAAAGCGUGGGGAGCGAACAGG
rnacentral:rRNA from 1 species